rnacentral:rRNA from 1 species
UACGAAGGGUGCAAGCGUUAAUCGGAAUUACUGGGCGUAAAGCGCGCGUAGGUGGUUCAGCAAGUUGGAUGUGAAAGCCCUGGGCUCAACCUGGGAACUGCAUCCAAAACUACUGAGCUAGAGUACGGUAGAGGGUAGUGGAAUUUCCUGUGUAGCGGUGAAAUGCGUAGAUAUCGAGAGGAACACCUGCGGCGAAGGCGGGUUGCUGGGCUGACACUGACGCUGAGGCGCGAAAGCUAGGGGAGCGAACGGG